rnacentral:snRNA from 1 species
CCAUACUACUAGCAUUGACAUCCGUCACCCCAUUGAUCACCAGGGUUGAUUUGGCUGAUCUGGCUAGCUAGGUGGGAGUCCCCUUCUUCCCUCACCAUUGGAUGUGUGUCCCCCAUGAAGCUGAGGGCCCAUUUGAAGUGGACAACCUUCCCCAAAUAGAGGAGGACUGGUCUUCACUCAAGGGUAUAUGUGUAGAUGCACUCCCUGCUAGAACCUUCAAACAAGACUCUUCAGAUCCACUAUAAACAUUGAUACUGUUGCCAACAGAACACAUCUCUUCACUUUCCUGAAGAUACUUAGCAACAACAGUUAUCU